rnacentral:rRNA from 1 species
GAUGAACGCUGGCGGUAUGCUUAACACAUGCAAGUCGAACGAAGUCUUCGGACUUAGUGGCGGACGGGUGAGUAACGCGUAAGGACCUGCCCUUAAGAGGGGGAUAACAGUUGGAAACGACUGCUAAUACCCCAUAAGCCGAGAGGUGAAGUAUUUCGCUUAAGGAUGGCCUUGCGUCAGAUUAGCUAGUUGGUGGGGUAGAGGCCUACCAAGGCGACGAUCUGUAGCUGUUCUGAGAGGGAGAGCAGCCACACUGGGACUGAGACACGGCCCAGACUCCUACGGGAGGCAGCAGUGGGGAAUUUUCCGCAAUGGGCGAAAGCCUGACGGAGCAAGACCGCGUGGGGGAGGA